rnacentral:rRNA from 1 species
UGGGGAAUUUUGGACAAUGGGCGAAAGCCUGAUCCAGCAAUGCCGCGUGUGUGAAGAAGGCCUUCGGGUUGUAAAGCACUUUUGUCCGGAAAGAAAUCCUUGGCUCUAAUACAGUCGGGGGAUGACGGUACCGGAAGAAUAAGCACCGGCUAACUACGUGCCAGCAGCCGCGGUAAUACGUAGGGUGCAAGCGUUAAUCGGAAUUACUGGGCGUAAAGCGUGCGCAGGCGGUUUGCUAAGACCGAUGUGAAAUCCCCGGGCUCAACCUGGGAACUGCAUUGGUGACUGGCAGGCUAGAGUAUGGCAGAGGGGGGUAGAAUUCCACGUGUAGCAGUGAAAUGCGUAGAGAUGUGGAGGAAUACCGAUGGCGAAGGCAGCCCCCUGGGCCAAUACUGACGCUCAUGCACGAAAGCGUGGGGAGCAAACAGGAUUAGAUACCCUGGUAGUCCACGCCCUAAACGAUGUCAACUAGUUGUUGGGGAUUCAUUUCCUUAGUAACGUAGCUAACGCGUGAAGUUGACCGCCUGGGGAGUACGGUCGCAAGAUUAAAACUCAAAGGAAUUGACGGGGUCAUAGCUGUUUCCCU